rnacentral:lncRNA from 1 species
GUGUGUAGUGUGUGUCUAUCUGCAUAUGUGUGUAUGUGUGUGUAGCUUGUGUUUGUCUACUAUUUGUGAAAAAUAACAUCAGAAUGUACACUGGUUCACAGAAGAAGAUAGCUGGGAAGAGGGUCCCCCGCAUGCCUGGCAGCCUGUGGACAGAGGAUGGAGAACGCGGAGCCUCCUUUGUGCCUGGGCCUCUCAUGCGCCCUGCCCGGGGAGCGGGUGCUCCAAGCCUGAGGCCCUGCCCUCUCCCUGCCUGCCUGCUCUGUGGCUGCUGUGGGGCACAGUCCUGAGGCCGAGGGAAGGCGCUGGCUGCUCCGCGCCCGCUCAUGGCGUCCCCUGCCUUCCCUGGCCCCUCACCUGCGGUCCCACCUCCCGCCCUCGGCCUCAGGGCGGGGCGCGACUGGGGCCCAUGGAGCGUCUGCCGCCCAGGACCGAGCUGGACACUUCUGCCUGCCCCAGACCGGGGAGUCGCUCCCAAAUCGGAGCUCCGCCUCUGUGCCUCCUCCGGAACGUGCGUGUCCGUGCCUCCCGUGCCCCGCCGGAGUCUCAGGCUGAGGGCAUGAAAGCGGCUGUGGGAAGCUUCUUUGGCCUAUUCCCUCUCCUGGAACUCCAUGAAAUGUGAAAUGGGGGCCACUCCUCAGCUGGGUGUGCCACCCAGCAACUGCUGGGCUCCAGCUUCUCCUGCAUGCAGCAAAGCUUGGAAGCCCCUCAGCCCCACCACACUGUACUCACCUUCAUCCAGUGCAGCUAUGCAGGGCCUGCUCCAGACACCUCCCGAGGUCCCUCCAUCCAACCACAUCUAGAUCAGAGGCUGCCAAGGAGGCUCAGGACCGCAUAGACUUGAAUGGCAGGGGACAAGCUCAGGAUGGCUUGAGACCUGAAUGUUUCUUUUCAUGAGACUAUAUGGUGUACAAUAUGAUGUUUUGAUAUAAGUAUACAUUUUGAAAUGAUUAAAUUGAGCCAAUUAACAUAUUGAUCAC